rnacentral:rRNA from 1 species
UACGUAGGGUGCGAGCGUUAAUCGGAAUUACUGGGCGUAAAGCGUGCGCAGGCGGUUUUGUAAGCCAGAUGUGAAAGCCCCGGGCUCAACCUGGGAAUUGCAUUUGAGACUGCAUAGCUAGGGUGCGGAAGAGGGAAGCGGAAUUUCCGGUGUAGCGGUGAAAUGCGUAGAUAUCGGAAGGAACACCAGUGGCGAAAGCGGCUUCCUGGUCCAGCACCGACGUUCAGGCACGAAAGCGUGGGGAGCAAACAGG